rnacentral:lncRNA from 1 species
GCUGUUGUCAGGGAAAUAUCGCAUGUAUCUUUCUGCAAUUUAAAACAAAAAAAAGUGCUCAUUCUGUGUAUUAAAUACGAAGUACACAAAAUAAAUUUUUGAAGCACAGAGGGUAAUAUGAUGGAAGGCAGCCCGAAAAUGUAGGCACGUUACAGUAAUUAAGGUAACUGUACUGUAGUAUUCACAUUCUUGAGUUUUUAGGUGGACUAAACAAGAACUGUAUGCUUCCAUCCCAGCCCGUUGAUAAAUCACUUGGAGCAGAAGCGCUUCUGUUCACGGCAUCAUGAAACUGACCUUUUAUAAUGGUGUUUCUUUCUUGUAGUUGAAGCUUGGGUCACCACCUUCAAUCUGCAGUUUUAAGGCUUGCUUAAGGCUGAGUUCUGUCUCUGCAGAAGGGUAGCCUUCCAGCACCUCCUGAUGCCCUCGAUCCUGCACUGUUCGUGGGACAGAAACCCUACCAAGAAAAACCUGAUUGCUUUGAAGAUGAUAAUUGGGAUUUGUCAUGAUUCCAUUCCUCUUCUUCUGUUCCCCACUCUGUUGAUGAAUUAGGAACUGCUGCUGAGAUCGACCAACCUCUUGCUGAGCUGGUGGCACCAAGAUUUUGCACUGUGGCUCUGGCGGCAUGGAUUUGAGUGGCACACUUGUCCCAGAUUUGGCAAUAGGUACUCGUUUAUCAAACUGAGUCAUUUCAUACUCUAACACUUUUGGUUGGGUGGAACUAUUUUGUUUGAUUUUUUUUCCAGCUGACCCAGACUUGCUGGAAUUGUCUGUUUUCCCCCCUUUGUUAGCUUUUGUUGAUUUCAAACUAGGUUUCACUUGGCUCCAUUCAAAUUCACUACUUGGAGAAUUAUGAUUUUGACUUAGGGAGUGGGUUGUGGAAGAAGGAGAAACAAUAGACUGCCUGCUUCUGCUGCGUGGCAGGGAAUGCUGCUGUAUUUGUUCCGUAAAGGAGAGGCUGUGGAAACUAUCAAUGGGCACAGUCUGAGCAGUUGCUGUCGAUGAUGUGGUACGGAGAGAAGAGUUUUUGGAACUUUUCAGGGAAUUAUUUGAUAAAGAUGACUUCUGACGGUCAACUGUAGAAUCAGGUGACUCUGAAGGAGAACUGAAGGCAUGAGCAGGCCCAUUAGAUAAGCCCCUCAUGCUAGGCUGCAUAUCUCCACCAGUACUCCCUGAACUAUUUGACUUCAUUGUUAAGGACUGCAUUUU